rnacentral:misc_RNA from 1 species
AAGUCGUAACAAGGUUUCCGUAGGUGAACCUGCGGAAGGAUCAUUAAAAAUUUUUAUCCGAAAAUUCGUUUUCGGAUUAUUUGUAUUCAAAUCCCACUCUUUAUAAAUAUAUCAAUUAUAAAAAACAAUAUAAAAAAAGAAAACUUUCAACAACGGAUCUCUUGGCUCUC